rnacentral:rRNA from 1 species
CUACGGGUUGCUCCAGUGAGGAAUAUUGCACAAUGGGGGGAACCCUGAUGCAGCAACGCCGCGUGGAGGAUGACGCAUUUCGGUGUGUAAACUCCUUUUAUAUGUCAAGAAAAUGACGGUAGCAUAUGAAUAAGCACCGGCUAACUCCGUGCCAGCAGCCGCGGUAAUACGGAGGGUGCAAGCGUUACUCGGAAUCACUGGGCGUAAAGGACGCGUAGGCGGGCUUGUAAGUCAGGUGUGAAAUCCUACAGCUUAACUGUAGAACUGCACUUGAAACUACGAGCCUAGAGUAUGGGAGGGGGAGAUGGAAUUAGUGGUGUAGGGGUAAAAUCCGUAGAUACCACUAGGAAUACCUAAAGCGAAGGCGAUCUCCUGGAACAUAACUGACGCUAAGGCGUGAAAGCGUGGGGAGCAAACAGGAUUAGAUACCCCCGUAGUC